GACGAACGCUGGCGGCGUGCUUAACACAUGCAAGUCGAACGGAAAGGCCCUGCUUUUGUGGGUUGCUCGAGUGGCGAACGCGUGAGUAACACGUGAGUAUCCUGCCCUUGACUUUGGGAUAACUUCAGGAAACUGGGGCUAAUACCGGAUAGGAGCUCCUGCUGCAUGGUGGGGGUUGGAAAGUUUCGGCGGUUGUGGAUGGACUCGCGGCUUAUCAGCUUGUUUGUGUGGUAGUGGCUUACCAAGGCUUUGACGGGUAGCCGGCCUGAGAGGGUGACCGGCCACAUUGGGACUGAGAUACGGACCAGACUCCUACGGGAGGCAGCAGUGGGGAAUAUUGCACAAUGGGCGGAAGCCUGAUGCAGCAACGCCGCGUGCGGGAUGACGGCCUUCGGGUUGUAAACCGCUUUGGCAUGUAACGAAGCGUGAGUGACGGUAAUGGGUAAAGAAGCACCGGCUAACUACGUG
rnacentral:rRNA from 1 species